CGAGUCGGCAGUGGCAAGUCUGGAAUCGGACCAGAUGAGGAGCAGCAGUCGCCAUCUUCACAGCCGCGAGUAAAGGUGGCUGUCGCACCCUCAAAAUUCUUCGUUUCUAGGAGUAGAUCCUGCCGAAGGAGCGGAAAGCGUUCGCCGCCCGGUUUGCAAAGCGCGAGUUUCUCCCGUGCUGUCCCGUUCGUCCCGGUGACUGUGAUAGAGGCGAGAGGGAAGCCGGUCUGGCCGGAGGAGCAUCUCCGCCCUCCUCAUCUUCUCUGACACUUCGUACACGUUCCCCGGUUUAACUUCCCGACCGCGAGCGAUGAGUGUGAAAAUGGCCGGGCAGACUAUGACGGAUAGGCUGCUCGCGGCGCGGCACAGCAUCGCAGGCCAAGGGCUCGCCAAGUCCGUCUGCAAGGCGACCACCGAAGAGCUCAUCGGGCCCAAGAAGAAACAUUUGGACUAUCUAAUCCACUGCACAAAUGAGCCAAACGUAUCAAUACCUCAGCUGGCGAAUCUUCUCAUUGAAAGGACACAGAAUACAAACUGGGUCGUAGUCUUUAAAGCGCUCAUUACUGUACAUCAUCUCAUGUGUUACGGAAAUGAGAGGUUCACGCAGUACCUCGCAUCCAGCAACAGCACGUUUCAGCUGAGCAACUUCCUCGACAAAAGUGGAGUACAAGCCACAGGUGCUAGAGUCGGCUACGAUAUGUCCCCGUUUAUCAGACGAUAUGCCAAGUACCUCAACGAGAAAGCGAUGUCAUACAGGACUGUGGCUUUCGACUUCUGCAAAGUAAAGAGGGGAAAGGAGGACGGAGUUCUGCGAACGAUGAACUCUGAGAAAUUACUUAAAACUCUGCCAGUGCUUCAAGGCCAAUUGGAUGAACUUCUCGAGUUCGACUGCACUGCUGCCGAUCUUAGCAAUGGUGUGAUUAACAUGGCUUUCAUGUUACUCUUUAGGGACCUUAUCCGCUUAUUUGCUGGCUAUAAUGAUAGUAUUAUUAACCUAUUAGAAAAGUAUUUUGAAAUGAAUAAAAAACAAUGUAGGCAAGCCUUAGACUUAUACAAAAAAUUCCUGAUAAGAAUGGAUAGGGUUGGAGAAUUUUUAAAAGUCGCAGAAAAUGUAGGUAUAGAUAAAGGAGAAAUCCCGGAUUUAACAAAGGCUCCAAGCAGCCUCCUUGAUGCUCUUGAACAACAUCUUGCUGCACUCGAAGGCAAAAAAGGCUCAGCAGCAAAUACUCCCACACAGUCUGCCAGCAUUAGGCCGAGAUCAAGCUAUUCCUACCUUCCCUGUCCUCAAGCUCCUUACCAUUACUCCGACAACUAUUGGAUCCGCCAACGAUCCGAUGUGAAGAGCGGGGUUUCAGCCCUCAGUAACACAAGCAGCGCUUUCGGCACAGCAGCAGCGCACAAUGUCGACGCCAGUGAAGAAGCUCUGAGACAACAGGCUCUUGCUGAGGAAGAAGCAGCAAUAAAUCAUUAUAAGUCAAAAGUGCAAUCACCCACCAAUUCUGGUGCAACAGCUACAAACCCAUUCCUUGUCGGUUCACCGACACAGCCGAUAGUUGAUUUAUUCGCUGCUCCGAUUCCAACUAAUGAAGUACACGUGCAACAAUCGACCAAAGCUUCAGAUGACUUGCUGCAGCUUGGGAACCCAUUUGCAGAUAUGUUCAGUACCCCUGCGCCCACUGCCGGCGUGCCAGCAGCACCGCUUGCAGCUGUCCAGCCACAAGCGCCUGUCAAUAAUGUUUGGAUGUCAAAUGGUUUCAAUGCUGCUCCUGCACCAGCUCCCGCUAAUGCAUUCGUCAGCGACAACACCUUUAACUCAGUCUUCGGAGGAGCAACUGAUAACGGCACUGCAGCUCCACAAGCUGGCGUAGUGGAUCCCACGGUGAAUCCUUUUAUGACAGACUUCCCCGCGGGUGAAGAGCCGGGGAAGACUGCGACUCCUCCUCCUCCCAGACCUCCUCCUCCUCGUCCUUCCUCACCGCCCAAGACGGCCCUGGACGACCUGAACGACUCGAUAAGGAUGGCGAUGGGCGGGACGCCCUCACCGUCGAGGCCUCCGCUUCCUUCUGCUCCCACUCCCAUUCCCCAACAACAGCCGUACCAAAUCCCGCCCCAGAACCCGCAGAUGCACUACAGUUCUCCGGCCAAGGUACCCUUGGUAGCGAUGCAAGGAGGAGCGGAAUCUCAGACAGGCAAAGUCCUCACUGGCGAUCUGGACACCAGUUUAGCAAUGCUCGCCGAGAAUCUCACGAUGAACAAGGGCAACCAGCAGACACAGAAGGGCAUGCAAUGGAACUCACCGAAGAACACAGCAAAAGGCGCGGGUGGCACGGGGUGGAGCCCUCAACCUAUGGCUGCUACGACAGGCGCCAACUACAGACCCAUGGGCCAGGGCAUGAUGAGCACGCCGCAAUUCAACAAUUUCCACCAUAUGGGUAUGAUGCCAGGUGGUAUGGGCUCUCCAAGGCAAGUCCCUCCAAGUGCCCAGCCCCCUUCGCAGGCACAGGAGUUAGACCCUUUCGGUGCUCUUUGAACAGAAAGGUGUAAAAUGAAAAUGAAAGUCCAUUGUGCAAAGCAAGCUGCAUAAAUCAGCAUGUUGAGGAUGUGCUUGUAUUCGAUUUUUUCUUCUUUUUUUAAAGCCAGCAUUUUACAGAGAUCAAGUAACCUGUUUGCAAUUUUUUUUGGCAUGUCGUACAUGUCGCUAGGUAUUAUGCACCUCCGAAUUUCCAUUAUCGCCUUGGCGUUUCCACGAUUGAAUUUCGGUUCUCUUCCUGUGUCUUCCGAUUUGUAUUAGCUGCGGUCGAGGACAAUGGGCCCUUUGGGUGGGUGGGAGACGGAGAAAGGAGAAAGCAGUUGGGACGUGUCAUAGUUCAUCUGGGGAGGUCGAUGUCGCACGAUAUGACUGCGAUCCCGUUGCGCAACCAGCCGCCAUCUUAUCUCAGACCUUUCUUUAUUUGGGAUGUAAUCGCUGAAACGAAACUACGUACUCAUCGGAAAGGGCGAAAAAAAGUGGAAUAAAUUUGGUACAAACCAGUAGGCAAGAAGUUAACACUGUCUUUGACUUUUUAGAUAAUUAUGACAAAAUAACAGUUUAAAGUAGUUUAAUUUGGGGAGGGGGGUUAUGGUUGUUUUACCAGCUAUUUUGUAUGUGCUGGUUAGUUGUUCCGAUCAUCCAAACUUACUAUCCUUGCUGCUUUGGUCUUGUCAUAUGCGAUUCGGCAUUUCGCAUGUCCAGUGCUUGCUCAUCAGUGGGCGUUAGAAAUAAAUUAAACUGUAAGGACGGUAAAUAAUCUAUCCACUGCACCGUAAUCAAUCAUCAUUAAUCAUCCUUGUUAUGCCCACUCUCGCUGGAUUUAUUGCAGAAACGCGUCUGACAGACCAAACCGGUGUGUAAAGGCAGACCAAACCAUCGGAAGCUAUCAACCUAGAGAAUUUGAAGUUGCAUUGUUCGACCUUUUUCUUUCUAAGCCUGUUUCUUCGACAAGGGGUUGAAAAUGUCAAAAAGAAGAAUAGGCAGGCGAGGUGUUAGACUCAUCAAACGAAGUCCUUGUAACACGGCCAACGAGAUACCAAGGAACUAUUACGCUAAGGACUUUAUGGCAUCCGGGACGAGUCUAACGAUCGAGGUCUUCAAAAGGUCUUAAGUAAAAUUACCCAAUGGGUCAAACAUUAAAACUGUUGUGAGAAAA